GGCACUUAGUGCUGCCCCUGCUAGCAGGACUGCUCAGAGGAGUGAAGCUGCUGAGAAGAAAAGGGAGAGAAAUAGGCAAAACUGAGCAGUGGGAGAGGGCCCGUGGUGGUGGGUGCUUAGAGGCAGUGUGGACCUGUCCUGCUGUACGUGCCUGUCCUGGACAGAUGAUGUCCCUGGAAUGGAAAGGAAGCCAAGAGGUCUUCAUCCUCCUUGGAUGCCGCUGGAAAAACUGCCUGGACUCUUGUAUCCAUGGUCUUGAAACCCGCACGGUUGAUGCUCAGGGCCCGGUCUUCAGCUGCAAGCUGUGGUGUCCUGAAGCCCCUCAAAGACAGGGGCGCCCAGGAAUCUGUCUUCACCAGCACAGCUGCUUUAAGGGCAAUCAAUAUUUCCUUUGAGGAGGUGCUUUGGAGGAGAGGAACUCAUCUGACUUCCCCUCGCUGUCCGUCCCCUCGUUAACUGCACUAAUUGGAUUGCAGCAGAUCCCUAGGGAGAAGGCAAAGCAAGAGACCCUCUAUGAUCUCUCUGAGGAUGGAUGGAUCCAGAGCGGAUCCGGAGUCGAGGAAGGAACACAUGUUGUUGGUGGGGGUCGUUCCAGACUGGACUCUGCCCUGCAAGAGAGACUUGGCUCCAGAUCCAAUGCACAUAUGAGUCUUCCCGUUGGCAUGGGAUGCUCUUCUGGUCCAGCUGGAUGCUUCCUGGGAAAUCCUGAGCACCUGGGAUUCCCCUCAUGCUGCUUUUCAUGGUUAAUAUCACAAAUAUAUCUCAAAGGCACAGGGUGCAUUGCACGUUUUCAUCCUCAUCUCAAGCUAUUAACACUUUCUCCAGAGAGUAAAUGAAUUUGCAAUCAGAUGCACCAAGAGAUCAAUGCUGCAUGUUGCAAACCAAUAUUUGUAUGAUCAAAGUAAACAAUUUUUUCCCCUCCAACUGGGAUUUUGCUGCAAGGAGAAUUCUGAAGGAUAUUUCUGCUCCUGCACUGCUUUGUGGGCUCUUUUGCAGCCAACAACAUUAACAGGAGAGAAGAGACAAACUGUAGGAACAAAGAGGAGAAAUGACUUUUGCAAAGCAGCCCUUAUGAAGGGCAGCAUGUGCUCGGAUCCCUCUGGAGCUGAAGGUAAUGAGUGUCUUAGAA